rnacentral:rRNA from 1 species
AGUCGAACGCUUCUUUUUCCACCGGAGCUUGCUCCACCGGAAAAAGAGGAGUGGCGAACGGGUGAGUAACACGUGGGUAACCUGCCCAUCAGAAGGGGAUAACACUUGGAAACAGGUGCUAAUACCGUAUAACAAUCGAAACCGCAUGGUUUUGAUUUGAAAGGCGCUUUCGGGUGUCGCUGAUGGAUGGACCCGCGGUGCAUUAGCUAGUUGGUGAGGUAACGGCUCACCAAGGCCACGAUGCAUAGCCGACCUGAGAGGGUGAUCGGCCACAUUGGGACUGAGACACGGCCCAAACUCCUACGGGAGGCAGCAGUAGGGAAUCUUCGGCAAUGGACGAAAGUCUGACCGAGCAACGCCGCGUGAGUGAAGAAGGUUUUCGGAUCGUAAAACUCUGUUGUUAGAGAAGAACAAGGAUGAGAGUAACUGUUCAUCCCUUGACGGUAUCUAACCAGAAAGCCACGGCUAACUACGUGCCAGCAGCCGCGGUAAUACGUAGGUGGCAAGCGUUGUCCGGAUUUAUUGGGCGUAAAGCGAGCGCAGGCGGUUUCUUAAGUCUGAUGUGAAAGCCCCCGGCUCAACCGGGGAGGGUCAUUGGAAACUGGGAGACUUGAGUGCAGAAGAGGAGAGUGGAAUUCCAUGUGUAGCGGUGAAAUGCGUAGAUAUAUGGAGGAACACCAGUGGCGAAGGCGGCUCUCUGGUCUGUAACUGACGCUGAGGCUCGAAAGCGUGAGGAGCAAACAGGAUUAGAUACCCUGGUAGUCCACGCCGUAAACGAUGAGUGCUAAGUGUUGGAGGGUUUCCGCCCUUCAGUGCUGCAGCUAACGCAUUAAGCACUCCGCCUGGGGAGUACGACCGCAAGGUUGAAACUCAAAGGAAUUGACGGGGGCCGCACAAGCGGUGGAGCAUGUGGUUUAAUUCGAAGCAACGCGAAGAACCUUACCAGGUCUUGACAUCCUUUGACACUCUAGAGAUAGAGCUUCCCCUUCGGGGGCAAGUGACAGUGCUGCAUGCUGUCGUCAGCUCGUGUCGUGAGAUGAUGGGAUCACGUCCGCUAUCGAA